CAAUAAUCAAUUUAAAAUCCAUUAUAUCGGAUCAAUUCUUCAUUUUAACAAGUAAGGAAAAUUCAGAAUGAUCUUCAAAGGGAUAUAGACCUAUAUUUGUUGCCGGCUUUUUUAUAUUAAUAACUGGAUACGGGUUGCAAUCUUUCGUUGUCAUAACUGAACCCUCUUGCGCAAGACUUUUUCGAACAGUCAGAGUCGGGUUUUGGGAUUGCCUCAAAUUGAAAAUCGAAAAAUACUUCGAGGGAACAUUUUGUUCUGAUGACAACUAUUCGUGGCUGUAUUAAUUGAUAACAUAUAAUUUCGGCAAGCGAGACUGUAAUUUGAUGAAUGAAUUUAUGCAAGAUUUCUUCCCGGAUGAACGUACCAUCAUACAAAGAAUAUACGACCGUAUGUGCUGUAAAACAAAAUCUGAAUGGGGAUUACGAGCACUUUUCGAGUAUCUUGGCAAACUUCCCCUCGGUGUCCAGAAAUCUACUCGCUAUACCAUCUAACACAUGUUAUACUCUAUAAGUUUAUGGAACCAAGUCGUCAGUGGAUCGAAAAAGUUUGGGAAUCACUGAUUUAAAGCAUAACUAUGAAAAUAUGUUUUAAAUUAAAAAUGCUACAUUUUAAUUUUUACGUCAUAACGCAUUAAAUCAUCAUUUAUUCUUAUUGGGUCCAGCCCCACGAAGAAAUUUGAAAAUUUUAAUAUGAAACAAUAGGCUACAUAAAAAUUUUUAAAAAAUUUAAAUUUAUUUUAAAAACUUGCAUUUUUAAAACAAUAACCAAAGCAAUAUGGAUUUGCGGAAGUAUUUUCUCAAUGUAUUUACAUACCAACACAAAAGCUAAAUUAGAAAUCUAUAUUUACAUAAUAGAAUUAACACAGCUGAAUUAAAACACGAGCUUUUGUAGAAUAAACAAAGAAUUUGUUAGUUAUUUCUUCUACGAAUAUUAAUUUUAAUUUUUCAAUUUUAUUAUUAACGUCUCGGCCAUUAAUAGAAGAGACCCAAAACUUUGUACGAUUGUAAUAAUUAUACAGCAAAGUUAUUUUCUUUCCUCGAUCGUCCAACGUAAGGAUUUACACGUUAAAUCAAACUGUUUAACUCGAAUAGGGUUUUGAUACAGUAUCUUUAUGCUCUCCGAAAUUCUAAAUUUAAAUAAAAUAAUUAACGUUCAUCAAUCGAAUAAACUAAUCAGAAAUUUUCUAUAAAGAGCAAACUCAUGCGACUAAACAUAAACAUCCUGUCGUGACGGCGAGUUGGAGUUGUACACGUGUAAAUUACAGUAUCUUCGUCACGCAUACUUCCAGAGAGCUUGUUGCGUGACCUACAUACUGUAACUGCUAUUCGGACCUGCUUUUUCGAACAUUUUUAAAAAUUUGAUUGCCGAUGUCCGACCAGCCGACAUGGAGUUUUGGUAAAUUAAUUUUAAAAAAUCAAAUUAUAGUCCGAUCGUAUGUAAAAAUUUUUUCUUUAGCGGCAAAAUUUUAAAAUACAACAGUGGUAAAAAGUGGUAUGUUUGUGAUAAAAAAUACACGUGUUCUAAACGCAAAAUAUCGUAAUCGUAAAAAUCGCAAAAUAUGAUGUAUUAAUAUUGAAAACGAAAAGUUUUGUAUUUUGUCUAUUAUUCUUCUCUUAUUUUUGUCUCCCAGAUUAUGGUAUCUCGACGGAUCAAUCAUUCGG